UAGGGAAUCUUCGGCAAUGGGGGGAACCCUGACCGAGCAACGCCGCGUGAGUGAAGAAGGUUUUCGGAUCGUAAAGCUCUGUUGUUAAGGAAGAACGAGUGUGAGAAUGGAAAGUUCAUGCUGUGACGGUACUUAACCAGAAAGGGACGGCUAACUACGUGCCAGCAGCCGCGGUAAUACGUAGGUCCCGAGCGUUGUCCGGAUUUAUUGGGCGUAAAGCGAGCGCAGGCGGUUAGAAAAGUCUGAUGUGAAAGGCAGUGGCUCAACCAUUGUAGGCUUUGGAAACUGUUUAACUUGAGUGCAGAAGGGGAGAGUGGAAUUCCAUGUGUAGCGGUGAAAUGCGUAGAUAUAUGGAGGAACACCGGUGGCGAAAGCGGCUCUCUGGUCUGUAACUGACGCUGAGGCUCGAAAGCGUGGGGAGCGAACAGG
rnacentral:rRNA from 1 species